UUUUAUGGAGAGUUUGAUCCUGGCUCAGGAUGAACGCUGGCGGCGUGCCUAAUACAUGCAAGUCGAGCGAACAGACAAGGAGCUUGCUCCUUUGACGUUAGCGGCGGACGGGUGAGUAACACGUGGGUAACCUACCUAUAAGACUGGGAUAACUUCGGGAAACCGGAGCUAAUACCGGAUAAUAUUUCGAACCGCAUGGUUCGAUAGUGAAAGAUGGUUUUGCUAUCACUUAUAGAUGGACCCGCGCCGUAUUAGCUAGUUGGUAAGGUAACGGCUUACCAAGGCGACGAUACGUAGCCGACCUGAGAGGGUGAUCGGCCACACUGGAACUGAGACACGGUCCAGACUCCUACGGGAGGCAGCAGUAGGGAAUCUUCCGCAAUGGGCGAAAGCCUGACGGAGCAACGCCGCGUGAGUGAUGAAGGUCUUCGGAUCGUAAAACUCUGUUAUUAGGGAAGAACAUACGUGUAAGUAACUAUGCACGUCUUGACGGUACCUAAUCAGAAAGCCACGGCUAACUACGUGCCAGCAGCCGCGGUAAUACGUAGGUGGCAAGCGUUAUCCGGAAUUAUUGGGCGUAAAGCGCGCGUAGGCGGUUUUUUAAGUCUGAUGUGAAAGCCCACGGCUCAACCGUGGAGGGUCAUUGGAAACUG
rnacentral:rRNA from 1 species